rnacentral:lncRNA from 1 species
GAGGAGGUCGAUUAAGCAAUUUUUUCUCCUCUUUUUCAAUCCAUGGUGCUUGUUUUUUGUAUUUGGUGAAGACAAUUCCCCCUCCCCCUUCCCCCUUCCCCCUUCCCCCUUCCCUUUCCCCUUCUACAUAUUGCCAUUCUCUAUUUUUGUUUUGGGAUUAUGAGCUGCUUUUGAUUGCAUGCUCAUCGAAUACUCUUGAACUAGUUCUUUUUGGUAUAGUUGGUCG